GGUUUAGAUACUGUAGAAAUUAUGCCCAUGAGACACAGAAACGCCCCGCCAUGACGCAGGGGCGAGGAGACCCGCGCCAUGGACGGCGCGUUUCGACGGUUUCGUCAAAGUAUAGAAAAAACUUCCAGCCAUAAUUUUGGUACAGUAUUCUAACC
rfam:Human gut metagenome DNA, contig sequence: In-D_036649.